AACUGGAAUCCAUCUUUAACCUGGAGCUUUAUACAGAGAAUUUUUUCAGCAAACAUAGCAAGCGGAGCAAAGGUUCUUGGACCAGGAUAUAUUCAUUAACUAUGAGGAAUGAGCUGUGGAAUAAUUCCAGCAACAGAGAUGAGAUCCAGGUGACUGGAGGCUUGAGGUUCCAGAAGCAACCUGUGUAAGGGAGGGACUGCACCAUUCAAUGGACACCCUCAAGUGAGAACCAGUCUAACACCACUUCUGACUGCCCAUACGCUCCUGACUUCAUCCAUGACAAACAUUCCAGCUCCUUCCAGCAGCUGCUCAAUCAUCCUGCACCCCAGCAAUGAGCCCACUUGCUUUGCUUCUUGCCAUAAAUGUUAUAUAAAAAAUCCUCCCAGUUGGUCUCUGUAGUGAUAUUCUUAGAUUAAAGGAAGAUAGAGUGGUAACUAAGCUGCUUUUUUAUUAUCCCAGUUACUGGAAGAGAAUUUUGGAAAAUUCUUAUAAUUGUUAUAUUUGUAUUAUAGUUAUGUCCAGAUUAGGACUCCAUUAUGCCAGACACUAUAUAUAUGCAUAUUGAGGGACAGUCUCUGCCUCCAAAGAACUUACAGUGUAAAUAGACAGGACAGGAAAAAGGAGGGAAAUACUAUUUCCCCAAUUUUACAGAUGGAGAACUGAGUCACAGAGAGAUUAAAUGACUGGACCAAUGUCAAACAGUCAAUCUGUGGCAAAGCUGUGAACUGAACCCAGAUCUCCUAAAUCUCAGUUCCAGGCCAAUGUCAUAAUCACAUGAUCAUCUUUACUCUCUCUAUACAACUGUUAAUAUGAAGAUCACUUCUCAGGAAAAGCAGUUGAAGCACAAAUUGUUAAUGUUUUUUGACCUGUCCUUAUAAAAAUGGAAAUCAUAGGUCAUUUUUCACUGUAGAAUGUUGAUUAGCAAAUCUUCAGGUAUAGUGUGAUUCAGUAGGAAGUUAGUAAAUUGUGUCUCUGUCCUAAGGCAGUAAUGAGUUAAAAUGUAAUUUUUUUCUUCCAUUAAAUGAACUGUGAUACAUCUACACUACUGUAUCCAUCAAAGAAUACUUGAUAAUGUUUUAUAGGAUGUUAAUUACACGCUUCUUCCAGUCACUGACUCAAUAAAGAAAUAUCCUUUCUAGCUUA